CCUACGGGGGGCUGCAGUGGGGAAUAUUGGACAAUGGGGGGAACCCUGAUCCAGCCAUGCCGCGUGUGUGAAGAAGGCCCUCGGGUUGUAAAGCACUUUCAGUGAGGAAGAACGCCUGGUGGUUAAUACCCAUCAGGAAAGACAUCACUCACAGAAGAAGCACCGGCUAACUCCGUGCCAGCAGCCGCGGUAAUACGGAGGGUGCGAGCGUUAAUCGGAAUUACUGGGCGUAAAGCGCGCGUAGGUGGCUUGAUAAGCCGGUUGUGAAAGCCCCGGGCUCAACCUGGGAACGGCAUCCGGAACUGUCAAGCUAGAGUGCAGGAGAGGAAGGUAGAAUUCCCAGUGUAGCGGUGAAAUGCGUAGAGAUCGGGAGGAAUACCAGUGGCGAAGGCGGCCUUCUGGACUGACACUGACACUGAGGUGCGAAAGCGUGGGUAGCAAACAGGAUUAGAUACCCUUGUAGUC
rnacentral:rRNA from 1 species